GGAGUUAGCCGGUGCUUCUUCUGUGAGUGAUGUCCUUCCUGCCGGUUAUUGACCCGCAGGCCUUCUUCCUCACUGAAAGUGCUUUACAACCCGAAGGCUUCUUCACACACGCGGCAUGGCUGGAUCAGGGUUGCCCCCAUUGUCCAAUAUUCCCCACUGCUGCCUCCCGUAGGAGUCUGGGCCGUGUCUCAGUCCCAGUGUGGCUGAUCAUCCUCUCAGACCAGCUACGGAUCGUCGCCUUGGUGAGCCGUUACCUCACCAACCAGCUAAUCCGACAUAGGCUCAUCCGAUAGCGCGAGGCCCGAAGGUCCCCCGCUUUCCCCCGUAGGGCGUAUGCGGUAUUAGCCUGGGUUUCCCCAGGUUAUCCCCCACUACCGGGCAGAUUCCUAUGCAUUACUCACCCGUCCGCCGCUCGCCACCAGGGAGCAAGCUCCCCGUGCUGCCGCUCGACUUGCAUGUGUUAGGCCUGCCGCCAGCGUUCAAUCUGAGCCAGGAUCAAACUCUGA
rnacentral:rRNA from 1 species